CAAGGCCAUCAUUGGACACCUCCUCCAGGAAGCCCUGCUGGAAUGACCCAGAUUCAGCCACUUGACUCCCAGGUCUUCUUAAGUGAGGAGACGUCUCCAGCCUUGCUUCAAUACAUGCUUUCCAACUUCUGCACCUGUUCCACGGUUCCGUCCGCCUGAAGGCUCUCUCACUCUCCUCCAGAAAGACUUCCAUCUCCCUGCAGGGAAACUGGACACAUGGAGACAUUGAGCCACUGCCCAAAGUUACACAGGAAAGCCAGCUAUGUCAAUGUGGACACUCGAGCAGUCCUCUGGAGUGAGCCACAUGGUGAAAAAUGGAGUCCUCCUGCCACCAGCCAAAAGGGACUUGCCAACCUUGUGACUGAGCCGGCCCAGACACUCCAGCCCCAGUUAAACCUUUGGAAGACUGUGGCCUCACCAACAUCUUGACUGCAACUUCGUGAGAGACCCAGAGCUAGACCCAUGCAACUAAGCUGCUCCCCAAUUCCUGGCCCACAGACACUGGGAGAGAUAAUACAUGUUUAUUUCUGUUUGAAGCUGCUAAGUUUUGGGUAAUUUGUUUUGCAGCAAUAGGUAAUUGAUAGCAUUAGGAAACAUUAGCUAAUGCUAACAAUGUUUUGCAGAUGAGGGAAUUGAGGCAUAAAAGUAACUUGCCCCAGGUCACACAGGUAACAAGUCGUUUAAACCAUGGCAGUUUGGAUCUAUGUAAAGUUCAGUAAUAAAUUAGAAUCUCUCUUUUACAGGAAUCAGGACACUUUGCCUGCUCAGAGGGAGAGAGGGAAAGAGACAGAGACACAAACACAGAGAGACAGUGACAUGGAGAAGUGCGCCGUGGGCUCACAGUACCAUGUGAAGGACUGGGGCUGCCCUUCUGUAAAGUGAAGGCAGUGGAGAAGUGAAGUGAAGUGUAAGUGAAGAGGAAAGUGAAGGAUGGUAGAGAGCACCCUUGCCCUUGCAGCCUGGCUGUGUUUGGCUUGGGGCUGCUGGUCUCCGACCCUGGCUGGGCUGGUGACACAGCCUAAGGUACCUGGGGGUGGAAUCUGGCACCCCUGAGCAGACCCCUCCCUGGCUCUUGUCCCCCUGUGCUGACACUCUCUGUCCCAGGCUCUCUCUGCCUCCAGACCAGAGCUCCUCCAGGGAAAAGGUGGAGUCUUGUUCGUCUGUGUCCCUCACCUAGCAUAAGGCCUGCCAGAGCAGGCUGGGCGAGGUGAACACAGAAGGUCCUCUGGCCCUGGUACUGGAGAGGCAUCAUCACUGGGGACAGAGUGAGAACCAGGAUGAUGCUGUUUGUUACUGGAGGAGCUCCCAUUGGAUGGAGGAGCCAACAACGACAGGCCAGUGUGAUCAGGGAGAUUGGGACACACAGUGCCGUGGGGGCCCAGAGGAGCAGGGAGGAUCUCUGUGGAGGAGGCGAGAAGUCUUCCCAGAGGAGGAGGCAUUUGAGAAAUUAACCAGUUUAUGUGCCCUGAAAAAUUCCCACUUCCACCCUCUGGGUUCGCAUGCUGGCUCAGUCACUUACUAGCUGUGUGACCUCUCUGCUGCUUAGCUUACUCAUCUGUAAAAUGGGAUAAACACAAAACCUGCCUGAUGGAGAUGUCGUAAGGAUCAAAGAGGAAAAAGAAUUUAAAACAUUUAGAAUGGUGCCUGACCCCCAGCAAGUAUACAAUAAAUAUUGGCUAUUGUUGUUAUUUUAUGUGGUUUUCUUUUAACUUUUUCAAGUAAAUAUAACUUACCUCAUGCUUGUUAUGUGUCAGGCCUUGUAUUUAUCCUCUGAAGACAAAGAUGAGGAAGACAUAGUCCUCCUAGGGGUACAAAUCCUUCAAUAAAGGCAGAAACAAGCAUUGGUCAAAUGUGCCCUGUGCCAAGAAUCCAGGAAUGCAGGAGAGCGGGCUCCUGUCCUCCAGCAGCUCACAGAGUGACGAGGGAGACAGUUGCAUAAGCAGACUGUGGCAACACAGGGUGGUCAGGGCUGCGGCAAAGGGAAGCCCAGGGACUGCAGGAGCCCGGGGAAGUGGCCCAAAGUGGGUGGAGGCUGAGAGGAGCCAGAAGGACCUCUGCUGAGGGGACUGUUGAGAGACAAGGAUUUGCCCACUUUGGCAACUGGCAUCCUUCUCCCUUGGGGAGGUCGGGGGAUGCCUGGGCUCAGUCUUGAUUCUGGGUAUUGGAAAGCCAUCAGGGUUUUGUGAACAGGGAAUUAUGUUUGAAUAAUAGUAACAAUAACUAACAUUUCUCAUGCAGCUACUAUAUACUGUAUGCUGUGCGUACACAAUCUCAUCUCAUAUCCUCACCACAAUGCUGUGAGAUAAGAAAGUGAGACUGGGAGAUAGGAUUGACUUUCCUAAGACCACAGAGUGGAGGAGGAGGAGGGACUGAGUUGGAUAGGUCAGUUUGGGCAGCAAGACGGGCUUCUAUCUUUAUCCCACAGUCCCAGGCACCAUUGUGCUUGACACAGAAUCCAAACUCCCAGCUGUGGCCUACAAAGCCCUGGUGAUCAGGGCCUUGCCAACUCCCUCCAGCCUCACCUGAGGCACCCACUCCUUCCCUGUCAUCAGGCCCCGGCCCACCUUGAU
rnacentral:lncRNA from 1 species